rnacentral:rRNA from 1 species
UCGGGAAUUUUGGGCAAUGGGCGAAAGCCUGACCCAGCAACGCCGCGUGAGGGAUGAAGUAUUUCGGUAUGUAAACCUCGAAAGAAUGGGAAGAAUAAAUGACGGUACCAUUUAUAAGCUCCGGCUAACUACGUGCCAGCAGCCGCGGUAAUACGUAGGGAGCAAGCGUUGUUCGGAUUUACCGGGCGUAAAGGGCGCGUAGGCGGCGCGGUAAGUCACUUGUGAAAUCUCUGAGCUUAACUCAGAACGGCCAAGUGAUACUGCUGUGCUAGAGUGCGGAAGAGGCAACCGGAAUUCUUGGUGUAGCGGUGAAAUGCGUAGAUAUCAAGAGGAACACCUGAGGCGAAGGCGGGUUGCUGGGCCGACACUGACGCUGAUGCGCGAAAGCCAGGGGAGCAAACG